rnacentral:rRNA from 1 species
AUUGAACGCUGGCGGCAUGCUUUACACAUGCAAGUCGAACGGCAGCACGGGUGCUUGCACCUGGUGGCGAGUGGCGGACGGGUGAGUAAUACAUCGGAACGUGUCCAGAAGAGGGGGGAUAACGCAUCGAAAGAUGUGCUAAUACCGCAUAUGCUCUGAGGAGGAAAGUGGGGGAUCGAAAGACCUUACGCUUUUGGAGCGGCCGAUGUCUGAUUAGCUAGUUGGUGGGGUAAGGGCCUACCAAGGCGACGAUCAGUAGUUGGUCUGAGAGGACGACCAGCCACACUGGGACUGAGACACGGCCCAGACUCCUACGGGAGGCAGCAGUGGGGAAUUUUGGACAAUGGGCGCAAGCCUGAUCCAGCAAUGCCGCGUGAGUGAAGAAGGCCUCGGUUGUAAG